rnacentral:rRNA from 1 species
CACGGGGGGAGAGUUUGAUCCUGGCUCAGGUUGAACGCUGGCGGCAGGCCUAACACAUGCAAGUCGAGCGGUAACAGGACUAGCUUGCUAGUUGCUGACGAGCGGCGGACGGGUGCGUAACACGUAGGAAUCUGCCCGGUAGUGGGGGAUAGCCCGGAGAAAUCCGGAUUAAUACCGCAUACGCCCUAAGGGGGAAAGAUGGCCUCUUCUUGAAAGCUAUCACUAUCGGAUGAGCCUGCGUCGGAUUAGCUAGUUGGUGAGGUAAAGGCUCACCAAGGCGACGAUCCGUAGCUGGUCUGAGAGGAUGAUCAGCCACACUGGGACUGAGACACGGCCCAGACUCCUACGGGAGGCAGCAGUGGGGAAUAUUGCACAAUGGGCGCAAGCCUGAUGCAGCCAUGCCGCGUGUGUGAAGAAGGCUCUAGGGUUGUAAAGCACUUUCAGCGAGGAGGAAAGGUUAAAGAUUAAUACUCU